ensembl:snoRNA
GCUGGAAUAGUGAUGAGUUCACUUUUUGCCGUUUACCCAUCAGACAAUAAGGUGGUGAAACUGUGACUAACUGAAUCACCAGC